rnacentral:rRNA from 1 species
CGCUUUCACUCCUACGGGAGGCAGCAGUGGGGAAUAUUGCACAAUGGGCGCAAGCCUGAUGCAGCCAUGCCGCGUGUGUGAAGAAGGCCUUCGGGUUGUAAAGCACUUUCAGUCGUGAGGAAGGUAGUGUAGUUAAUAGCUGCAUUAUUUGACGUUAGCGACAGAAGAAGCACCGGCUAACUCCGUGCCAGCAGCCGCGGUAAUACGGAGGGUGCGAGCGUUAAUCGGAAUUACUGGGCGUAAAGCGCAUGCAGGUGGUUUGUUAAGUCAGAUGUGAAAGCCCGGGGCUCAACCUCGGAAUAGCAUUUGAAACUGGCAGACUAGAGUACUGUAGAGGGGGUAGAAUUUCAGGUGUAGCGGUGAAAAUGCGUAGAGAUCUGAAGGAAUACCGGUGGCGAAGGCGGCCCCCUGGACAGAUACUGACACUCAGAUGCGAAAGCGUGGGGAGCAAACAGGAUUAGAUACCCUGGUAG